GAUGAAGAACGUAGCGAAAUGCGAUACUUGGUGUGAAUUGCAGAAUCCCGUGAACCAUCGAGUCUUUGAACGCAAGUUGCGCCCGAAGCCAUCAGGUUGAGGGCACGUCUGCCUGGGCGUCACAUAUCGUUGCCCAAUCCCUAUUGCAGUGCAAUAGGAAUUUCUAGGGCGAAUGAUGGCUUCCCGUGAGCGUUGUUGCCUCGCGGUUGGUUGAAAAUCGAGUCCUUGGUAGGGUGUGCCAUGGUAGAUGGUGGUCGAGUUAGAACGAUACCGAUCAUGUGCAUGCUCCCCAAAAUAUGGCCUCUAUGACCCACACGCGUCUUUUGACGCUCAUGACGAGACCUCAGGUCAGGCGGGGCUACCCGCUGAAUUUAAGCAUAUCAAUAAGCGGAGGA
rnacentral:misc_RNA from 1 species